rnacentral:RNase_P_RNA from 1 species
AGUUGGUUAAGCAAUCGCUCUUUGUUUACAAAGGGAGGAAAGUCCGGGCUCCAUAGGGCAAAGUGCCAGGUAAUGCCUGGGAGGUGUGAACCUACGGAAAGUGCCACAGAAAAUAUACCGCCUGAAGUAAUUCAGGUAAGGGUGAAAUGGUGCGGUAAGAGCGCACCGCGCGAUUGGUAACAGUCGUGGCAGGGAAAACCCCACUUGGAGCAAGACCAAAUAGGAAUCCAAUGGUUUAGUUCCUCUAGGUUUAGAGGAUGUUAAACUAUAAGGUGUGGCCCGCACAGGAUUCGGGUAGGUUGCUUGAGGCGCAUGGUGACAGGCGUCCCAGAUGAAUGAUUGCUCAAGACAGAACCCGGCUUAUCGACCAACUCUA